rnacentral:Y_RNA from 1 species
GGCUGAUCUGAUGGUAGUGGUUUAUCAGAACUUAUUAACAUUAGUGUCACUAAAGUUGGUAUUCAUUCCCCCACUGCUAAAUUUGACUGGCUUAGA